AUUGAACGCUGGCGGCAGGCCUAACACAUGCAAGUCGAACGGUAGCACAGAGAGCUUGCUCUCGGGUGACGAGUGGCGGACGGGUGAGUAAUGUCUGGGAAACUGCCUGAUGGAGGGGGAUAACUACUGGAAACGGUAGCUAAUACCGCAUAACGUCGCAAGACCAAAGAGGGGGACCUUCGGGCCUCUUGCCAUCAGAUGUGCCCAGAUGGGAUUAGCUAGUAGGUGGGGUAACGGCUCACCUAGGCGACGAUCCCUAGCUGGUCUGAGAGGAUGACCAGCCACACUGGAACUGGGACACGGUCAGACUCCUACGGGAGGCAGCAGUGGGGAAUAUUGCACAAUGGGCGCAAGCCUGAUGCAGCCAUGCCGCGUGUGUGAAGAAGGCCUUCGGGUUGUAAAGCACUUUCAGCGGGGAGGAAGGCGAUGAGGUUAAUAACCUCAUCGAUUGACGUUACCCGCAGAAGAAGCACCGGCUAACUCCGUGCCAGCCGCCGCGGUAA
rnacentral:rRNA from 1 species